rnacentral:rRNA from 1 species
UACGUAGGGGGCAAGCGUUAUCCGGAUUUACUGGGUGUAAAGGGAGCGUAGACGGAUGGACAAGUCUGAUGUGAAAGGCUGGGGCUCAACCCUGGGACUGCAUUGGAAACUGCCCGUCUUGAGUGCCGGAGAGGUAAGCGGAAUUCCUAGUGUAGCGGUGAAAUGCGUAGAUAUUAGGAGGAACACCAGUGGCGAAGGCGGCUUACUGGACGGUAACUGACGUUGAGGCUCGAAAGCGUGGGGAGCAAACAGG